rnacentral:lncRNA from 1 species
AUGAGCAGCCAGACAGCCCCUGGAUGUUGUCUGUGCUGUAAUUCAGCCCAGCUCGGGCCCUGCCAGUGCCCAGGGUGGCAGCAGGUGGCUUUUGUCACACGUCACAGUGCUGGGGUGAGGUGUCCCAGCACUCUGGGGCUCCUGCAGCGGGACUGGAUGGGACAUGUGGCUGCUCCCUGCCUCUGUCCCUGCCUCUGUCCCAGUCCCUGUCCCAGUCCCUGUCCCUGCCUCUGUCCCAGUCCCUGUCCCUUUCCCAGCCUCUGUCCCAGUCCCAGUCCCAUCCCUGUCCCAGUCCCUGUCCCAGUCCCUGUCCCUGUCCCAGUCCCAGUCCCUGUCCCUGCCUCUGUCCCAGUCCCAGUCCCUGUCCCAGUCCCUGUCCCUGCCUCUGUCCCAGUCCCUGUCCCUUUCCCAGUCCCUGUCCCUUUCCCAGUCCCUGUCCCAGUCCCUGUCCCAGUCCCUGUCCCUUUCCCAGUCCCUGUCCCUGUCCCAGUCCCUUUCCCAGUCCCUGUCCCUGUCCCAGUCCCUGUCCCAGUCCCUGUCCCCCUGUCCCAGUCCCUGUCCCAGUCCCUGUCCCUGUCCCAGUCCCAGUCCCAGUCCCAGUCCCUGUCCCAGUCCCUGUCCCUGUCCCAGUCCCUGUCCCUGUCCCUCUGGGCUGGCCGCAUGGCCCUGGUGCCACCGCUGUCCCUGUGCCAGGUGGCUCAGGGUGCCCAGGGCACCAGGAUCCUGCUGCUGCUGAGCUCUGGGAUCCUCUGGGGUGUUGAGGGUCACACCUGCCUUUCCUUCGUGCUGCAGAAGGAAAAGCAGCCCCUGCCUCAGCACAAGGUGGAGGUGAGCCCUGGGCUGGGGGACCCUCAGCUGGGGCAGAGCCCCCGGGGAGGUGCUGGGGGGAGUUGGCCCCUUCUCCCUGAAUCAGGCUGGAAAGUGGGAAUUUGCUGUUCUGUCCUGACACCGUCUGGGACUGCAGGGUGCCCCCCACUGCACUCCCACCCCCGAGAAAUCUGCCUGAGAUCUGGGUCUCGGUGUUGCAUCUCGCUUAUCUCUAAUCAUCUGUUAAUUGCUUUAAGAAGUGAUCUCUAA